rnacentral:rRNA from 1 species
AACGAACGCUGGCGGCAUGCCUAACACAUGCAAGUCGAACGAGACCUUCGGGUCUAGUGGCGCACGGGUGCGUAACGCGUGGGAACCUUCCCUUAGGUUCGGAAUAACUCCCCGAAAGGGGUGCUAAUACCGGAUAAUGUCUUCGGCCCAAAGAUUUAUCGCCUUUGGAUGGGCCCGCGUUGGAUUAGCUAGUUGGUAGGGUAAAAGCCUACCCAGGCGACGAUCCAUAGCUUGUCUGAGAGGAUGAUCAGCCACACUGGGACUGAGACACGGCCCAGACUCCUACGGGAGGCAGCAGUGGGGAAUAUUGGACAAUGGGCGAAAGCCUGAUCCAGCAAUGCCGCGUGAGUGAUGAAGGCCUUAGGGUUGUAAAGCUCUUUUACCCGGGAUGAUAAUGACAGUACCGGAAGAAUAAGCUCCGGCUAACUCCGUG